CAAUCGAAGAGUUUGAUCCUGGCUCAGAUCGAACGCUGGCGGCAUGGCUAAAACAUGCAAGUCGAACGCGAAAGUACCUUCGGGUGCGAGUAGAGUGGCGAAAGGGCGAGUAACGCGUUUCUAACGUACCUCCAAGCCAGGGAUAGCAUCGAGAAAUCGGUGGUAAUACCUGAUGACCCCGUAGUGUCGUAUGGCACAGCGGGCAAAGGCUUGCUACUUGGAGAUCGGGAAACGUCCUAUCAGCUUGUUGGUGAGGUAAUGGCUCACCAAGGCGAAGACGGGUAGCGGGUGUGAGAGCACGACCCGCCGCAUCGGGACUGAGACACUGCCCGGACUCCUACGGGAGGCUGCAGUAACGAAUAUUCCGCAAUGCGCGAAAGCGUGACGGAGCAAUGCCGCGUGCAGGAUGAAGCCCCUCGGGGUGUAAACUGCUGUCAGGGAUUAGGAACACAAUGACCAACCCCAAAGGAAGGACCGGCUAACUCUGUGCCAGCAGCCGCGGUAAUACAGAGGGUCCAAGCGUUGAUCGGAAUCACUGGGCUUAAAGGGUUCGUAGGCGGAUCUGUAAGUAUGUUGUGAAAUCCCACAGCUCAACUGUGGAAUUGCUUCGUAGACUGCAGAUCUUGAGCACGACAGGGGCCAUCAGAACGAUAGGUGGAGCGGUGAAAUGCGUAGAUAUCUAUCGGAAUGCCAAAGGUGAAGACAGAUGGCUGGGUCGUCGCUGACGCUCAGGAACGAAAGCAUGGGUAGCGAACGGGAUUAGAUACCCCGGUAGUCCAUGCCCUAAACGAUGUGUACUAGUUCGAGGAGGUUUUGACGCCAUCUCGGACGAAGCUAAAGUAUUAAGUACACCGCCUGGGGAGUACGGUCGCAAGGCUAAAACUCAAAGGAAUUGACGGGGACUCACACAAGCGGUGGAGCAUGUGGCUUAAUUCGAAGCAACGCGAAGAACCUUAUCCUGGGUUUGACAUGGACGGAUUAGCUUUCCGAAAAGAAAGUAACACUCUUUGAGUGGAACGUUCACAGGUGCUGCAUGGCUGUCGUCAGCUCGUGCUGUGAAGUGUCGGGUUAAGUCCCUUAACGAGCGAAACCCCUGUCGUUAGUUGCUACCAGGUAAUGCUGAGGACUCUAACGAGACUGCCGGUGUCAAACCGGAGGAAGGUGGGGAUGACGUCAAGUCCUCAUGGCCUUUAUGCCCAGGGCUGCACACGUGCUACAAUGCGUUGGACAGAGCGAAGCGAUACGGCAACGUGGAGCAAAUCGCAGAAACCAACGCUCAGUUCGGAUUGUGGUCUGCAACUCGACCACAUGAAGUUGGAAUCGCUAGUAAUCGCGUAUCAUCAAUGACGCGGUGAAUAAGUUCCUGAGUCUUGUACACACCGCCCGUCACGUCAUGGGAGCUGGUAGUGCCCGAAGUCGCAUCAAUUCAGGUGUGCCUACGGCAAGAUCGGUGACUGGGACGAAGUCGUAACAAGGUAGCCGUAGGGGAACCUGCGGCUGGAUCACCUCCUUU
rnacentral:rRNA from 1 species